GACGAACGCUGGCGGCGUGCCUAAUACAUGCAAGUCGAACGCUGAAGGAGGAGCUUGCUCUUCUGGAUGAGUUGCGAACGGGUGAGAAACGCGUAGGUAACCUGCCUGGUAGCGGGGGAUAACUCUUGGAAACGAUAGCUAAUACCGCAUAAGAGUAGAUGUUGCAUGACAUUUGCUUAAAAGGUGCAAUUGCAUCACUACCAGUUGGACCUGCGGUGUAUUAGCUAGUUGGUGGUGUAACGGCUCAACAAGGCGACGAUUCCUAGCCGACCUGGGAGGGGGAUCGGCCACACUGGGACUGAGACACGGCCCAGACUUCUUAGGGAAGCAGCAAGAGGGAAUCUUCGGCAAUUGGCGGAAGGCUGAACGAGCAACGCCGCGGGAGGGAAGAAGGGUUUCGGGUCGGAAAGAUCCGUUGUAAGGGAAGAAAGAGUGUGGGAGUGGAAAGUGCACACCGUGACGGUAUCUAACCAGAAAGGGACGGCUAACUACGUG
rnacentral:rRNA from 1 species